rnacentral:rRNA from 1 species
UAGGGAAUAUUAGUAAUGGGCGAAAGCCUGAACUAGCAACGCCGCGUGUGCGAAGAAGGCCUUCGGGUUGUAAAGCACUUUUUGAGAGGAUGAGGAAGGACGGUACUCUCAGAAUAAGUCUCGGCUAACUACGUGCUAGCAGCCGCGGUAACACGUAGGAGGCAAACGUUAUCCGGAUUUACUGGGCGUAAAGCGCGUGUAGGUGGUUUGGUAAGUAGGGCGUGAAAGCUCCUGGCUCAACUGGGAGAGGCCGUUCUAAACUGCCGAACUAGAGGAUGGUAGAGGGAGGUGGAAUUCCGGGUGUAGCGGUGGAAUGCGCAGAUAUCCGGAGGAACACCAGUGGCGAAAGCGGCCUCCUGGACCAUUCCUGACACUCGGACGCGAAAGCUAGGGUAGCAAACGG